UUUUUGACCUCUUUGCACAACGUAUUUUGUAUACAAUAGUAUUCUGAUACGUAGUUGAUAUAAGUGCAAGCGUGUGCAAGACCUGAUUUAAAAAAACAGAAACUUAUUUGUGCACAACUUAUUUUGAGGUCUUUUUCAAAUAAAGAAACCAAAAUGUUAUAUAAAGGUCAUCGGCAAAAUGUACGCCACUAAAGUGCAACAACCUCAAAUAUGAGUAGCCAGUACGGACGUGUUAUUAAAUACUUAGUCGUUUAUCUACCGAAAAUAUCUUUAAAGAAUACUAUUUGUAUUCAUUUUAGAUUAUGAAUGGAGCGAAAAAGCGUUUGGUUUUAAAAUUAUGUUUAUACUUUUUUUCCGUGGACAACUUUUCUACCAGCAAUUUUGCUACAAAUUACAAUGAUAGCACAUUUGCUGAAAGUAAAUCGGACUGGGACGGUACUUUAGAAAGGCCAUCUCUUGAUAGUCUUAAGAUUUUUCCCGAUAAAUGGACAGUAUAAAGGAAAACGCAAGAAAACUGAAAGAACG